AGGAUAUUUUGAUGUAAUUCCGUUAAGAAUUAUCUUUAUCAUGUUUAUUACUUUAUCGUAUCUCUGUAUUGGAGAGAUAAAUUUAAUCGUUAAUUGCUAUUAAAGAUUAACAAUAGUAAUUCAAUCGUUAGUCGUCGAUUAAUGUUUUGCUCAACUCUGCCUCAGGGUCGCCACUCGAUUGCAAAGGGUUAAUAAUUUCCCUGAUAGAACGAGACAAUUUUUGUUUCUUCUGUGUUUUCGCUUACUGUCAUCCCUAAAUUUUAAUAACAAAAGAACCAAAUUUUGUUUCGAUUUCAAAAAAAUUAAUGUAAUUCACAUUUAGUAGAUUAUGUUUAGAAUCUCGAUCACGAGUCCGACUCUGUGUGGUGCAUCAUAUUAACCCUCCAAGCCGGUAAUUAAAUUUGUGAGAAUUCAAUUAUUUUUAUUGUAAUAUAAAUGCUGUCCCGUACCAUGUGAUUCUACACAUAAAAAUAAUAAAAAAGCUCAAAUAAACACACGUUCUAUUAGUCUUUGUUUUCGCGUUAAGUCGAGUUGUUAUGAAUGUGAGCAAAUACAGUGCCGCUGUACUUUUUAUUGUUUUCAUGUGUAGAAUCCAUUCCUGAAGUGUGUCUCACAUGCUACGGGACACCCUGUAUUUAAUCUCGUAUAAAACAAAAGGUUUCGUCAAUUUUCGACUUGUAAACAUAUACUAACGUAUACUAGCACGAAAUACUCAUAUUAUAUAGGUAUUUAUACUGUAUUAUAUUUAUACAAUAUAGCGUUUUUAUAUAUACAUGACAACGAAUGUGGGGUCGUUGACGCACACGUGUACGUCGAACCUUGAGGGGUUAAAUAAGUGCCACCGUAAAUCAGAAGAAGAACGUUCCAAUUUUAUUUACAGAAACGAAGAAGCUUCUCCGUGUGCACGGUAGCAGCCAACCUUCGGUCUCGUUAUCUCCGUCCUCCCGUGGCUCGGAUAAGAAAGAAUCACGUGCCCGGUGUCCCCUCCCGCCCUCCAGCUGAAGGAGACUGAAUGAACACCACGUACCCGGCGAAUCCUCCUUCCUCGCUUUCAACGAUCAGCCGAUCCGAUUACCAGGCCGGCUCUGCAUCGGAUCGUGAUUCUUCGGACAAGCCUGUCCGUGCCGGAGACGUAUCGACCGGUAAAGGAUCCCAAUCGGUGGCCAGCAGUGACCCAAAAUAUCCUAAGCCAAAACCGUCUUACAUAAUUGGCAGUGGAUCAAGAACGUACCCGGCGGAGCAGCCACUCUCCAGUCAUUAGACCUUCCAUUAGUGUCGCGGAUGUAAAUGCGUUUCGGAUGGCGAGCAUUAUUAAAUCAGAAGUGGGGUUCUAUUCACCCGGGCAUGUUGUUUUCUAUUCAGAUUGCCUGUAGUUGCUCCGAUGCGAGCAGACUCUGCGAACAACGGAUCACCCUGAUAGCCGAAUGGAGGACACACGAGUUAUUGAACAGAACAUAUUGAACAGGAUUUCGCACGCGGAGCUGUUUAACGUUAUUCGGACAAUUUUCUAAGCUCGAUUUCUGUGUCCGUGAUUAUUUAGUAAUUUUAUUUACUCAGAGAUUUCUGGAUUGUUAUUUUCUUACAGAGGCUCUAUCUAUUUAUCGGCACACGAUCGGCGGAUCUUUUUGAUAAGAAUGUAACCGAGUAUGCUUUUCCUGAAGUAAAAGUUGUAAAUAAGAAAAAUCUGUAGUUGCAAAAAAAUUUGUACGAACCUGCAGUUGUAAA